UGGGGAAUAUUGCACAAUGGGCGCAAGCCUGAUGCAGCCAUGCCGCGUGAGUGAAGAAGGCCUUAGGGUUGUUAAACUCUUUCACCGGUGAAGAUAAUGACGGUAGCCGGAGAAGAAGCCCCGGCCAACUCCGUGCCAGCAGCCGCGGUAAUACGGAGGGGGCUAGCGUUGUUCGGAAUUACUGGGCGUAAAGCGCACGUAGGCCGAUUGGAUAGUUGGGGGUGAAAUCCCGAGGCUUAACCUCGGAACUGCCCUCAAAACUUCCAGUCUUGAGUCCGGGAGAGGUGAG
rnacentral:rRNA from 1 species